ACAAUUAAAUCAACCAGAAGCGCACUUAUAUCAAAUUGAUGUUCAAAGCGAUGAAGAGGUUAUUAAUGGUUUUG
rnacentral:sRNA from 1 species